AUCGAGGUCACGCUGAUGAAAAAGGAACUACAGUACUGUUAUGUCAGUAACAUACAUCACAGUCGUACGUCUCCAGGCUUCUUAUCUUCCUUUGAACCUGACCUGGCUACUGUUUGGUGGAUUAUAGAGGAAAAGCUGUAAUGGGAAAGUAGGUUGGGUGAAGGGAUGAGAAAAAGGAAAGCAUCGUGGAGCACAUUAGCAGGCUUUCUCCAUGAAGAAGCAGGUAUGUGCCCAGUGGAGACUCACAAGACGGGAA
rnacentral:lncRNA from 10 species